rnacentral:rRNA from 1 species
CGAACGCUGGCGGCGCGUUUUAAGCAUGCAAGUCGAACGGGAAUCUGGCCUUCGGGCCAGAGGAUAGUGGCGAACGGGUGAGUAACACGUAGGUGAUCUGUCCUUGGAGUGGGGGAUAGCCCAUGGAAACAUGGGGUAAUACCGCAUGAGGUCUUGGAACUAUGGUUCUUAGAUGAAAGGAGCAAAUGUUCCGCUUUGGGAUGAGCCUGCGGUCCAUUAGCUAGUUGGUAGGGUAAGAGCCUACCAAGGCGACGAUGGAUAGCCGACCUGAGAGGGUGAACGGUCACACUGGGACUGAGACACGGCCCAGACUCCUACGGGAGGCAGCAGCUAAGAAUCUUCCGCAAUGGGGGAAACCCUGACGGAGCGACGCCGCGUGGACGAUGAAGGCCUAGAGGUUGUAAAGUCCUUUUGCAGACGAAGAAUAAGGCAAGGAGUGGAACGCCUUGCUGAUGACGUUAGUCUUGCGAAUAAGCCCCGGCCAAUUAC